rnacentral:rRNA from 1 species
UACGUAGGGUGCGAGCGUUGUCCGGAAUUAUUGGGCGUAAAGGGCUCGUAGGCGGUUUGUCGCGUCGGGAGUGAAAACCAUGAGCUUAACUCAUGGCUUGCUUUCGAUACGGGCAGACUAGAGGUAUGCAGGGGAGAACGGAAUUCCUGGUGUAGCGGUGAAAUGCGCAGAUAUCAGGAGGAACACCGGUGGCGAAGGCGGUUCUCUGGGACGGUACUGACGCUGAGACGCGAAAGCGUGGGGAGCGAACAGG